rnacentral:rRNA from 1 species
GGGGGCUAGCGUUGUUCGGAAUUACUGGGCGUAAAGCGUGCGCAGGCGGCUUCUCAAGUCAGGGGUGAAAGCCCAGAGCUCAACUCUGGAAUUGCCUUUGAGACUGAGUGGCUUGAGUACGAGAGAGGUGAGUGGAAUUCCCAGUGUAGAGGUGAAAUUCGUAGAUAUUGGGAAGAACACCGGUGGCGAAGGCGGCUCACUGGCUCGUAACUGACGCUCAUGCACGACAGCGUGGGGAUCAAACAGG